GAAUCCGCUAAGGAGUGUGUAACAACUCACCUGCCGAAUGAAUUAGCCCUGAAAAUGGAUGGCGCUUAAGCGGGCGACCGACACCAUGCCGUCUGUAAAAGAAAAAAUAUAUAAAUUCAGAUGAGUAGGAGGACGUGGCGGGUGUGUCGAAGCAUGCGUGCAGACGCGUGUGGAACGGCCGCUAGUGCAGAUCUUGGUGGUAGUAGCAAAUAUUCAAGCGAGAUCCUUGAAGGGCGAAGCGGGGAAGGGUUCCACGCGAACAUUGAUUGGGCGUGGGUGAGUCGUUCCUAAGCCGAGUGGCAAUUGCUAAGUAGCGGCGAAAGGGAAGCAGGUUGACAUUCCUGCACACGGAUGUGGAGGCGGUGACGCUUUAAUGAGGGCGAACACGCCGGCGAUGGCGCUGGGCAGAGUUUUCUUUUCUGUUUGACCGCUGCAGCGCGCGGUGUGGAAUCCGCUUGUCGGGAGAAACACGCGUGUUCGGGCAGAGCGCCGGGGCUAUUCCGGCGUCCAGCUCGCCAUCGACGGCCCUUGAAAAUUUGCCUGCUGGAAUAUAUUAUGAAAAUGAUUAUUAGGAUCCACGCCGUGGCGUACCGAUCACCGCAUCAGGUCCCCAAGGUGAACAGCCUCUGCUCGAUAUGAACAAUGCAGGUAAGGGAAGUCGGCA
rnacentral:rRNA from 1 species